rnacentral:rRNA from 1 species
AUUGAACGCUGGCGGCAGGCCUAACACAUGCAAGUCGAGCGGAUGAAGGGAGCUUGCUCCUGGAUUCAGCGGCGGACGGGUGAGUAAUGCCUAGGAAUCUGCCUGGUAGUGGGGGAUAACGUCCGGAAACGGGCGCUAAUACCGCAUACGUCCUGAGGGAGAAAGUGGGGGAUCUUCGGACCUCACGCUAUCAGAUGAGCCUAGGUCGGAUUAGCUAGUUGGUGGGGUAAAGGCCUACCAAGGCGACGAUCCGUAACUGGUCUGAGAGGAUGAUCAGUCACAUUGGAACUGAGCAACGGUCCAGACUCCUAGGGGGGGCAGCAGGGGGGAAUAUGGGACAAUGGGGGAAAGCCUGAUCCAGCCAUGCCGGGUGUGUGAAGAAGGUCUUCGGAUUGUAAAGCACUUUAAGUGGGGAGGAAGGGCAGUAAGUUAAAACCUUGCUUUUUUGACUUUACCAACAGAAUGAGCACCGGCUAACUUCGU